ensembl:miRNA
GUAUAGGUUGGUGCAAAAGUAAUUGCGGUUUCUGCCAUUUAAAAGUAAUCGCAAAAACUGCAAUCACUUUUGCACCAACCUAAUA